UAUGGGGCAAGCGUUAUCCGGAUUUACUGGGUGUAAAGGGAGCGUAGGCGGCAUGGCAAGUCAGAAGUGAAAGCCUGGGGCUCAACCCCGGAAUUGCUUUUGAAACUGUCAGGCUAGAGUGUCGGAGGGGUAAGCGGAAUUCCUAGUGUAGCGGUGAAAUGCGUAGAUAUUAGGAGGAACACCGGUGGCGAAGGCGGCUUACUGGACGAUUACUGACGCUGAGGCUCGAAAGCGUGGGGAGCAAA
rnacentral:rRNA from 1 species